CCUGCCCCUAGAGGCCUUGCAGGUGUGACUACUGUGUCACAUGUGUGUCAGUGGUGGCAGAAGGGAGAGAGGCUAUGUCUAUGUUCAGUGUUCUGGCCUAUGAACAUCUGAAUGAUCAGUAGCCUAACACU